CAAAGGACUGGAUUUUCGGUCCGCCUAUUGGAAACACUAGGAUGUCAAUCGGGUGAAUUCGGGGAAGCCCUACUUUUUUAUUAAAAAAGGGUAAUCCCGAGCCAAGCCUCAAUUGGGAUAAAGGAUUGGGGAAGGUGUAGAGACUAGCAGGUGAGCCCAACAAUAAUCCUGCACUAGCGCCCGACUCCGCCCUUAACGAGAGUUAACCGGAGAAGAGAUAGUCCAAUCCCUGGAGAAAUCUGGGC
rnacentral:ncRNA from 1 species